GCUCGGCAUUGGGCACGUACUGAUAGCCCUGCUCGAUGAGACGAAAGCACGGAUGCAGAUCCAGCAGCCUCAGGCGCUUUUUGACCUUUGUUGGCAAUUUAUAUGUGUUCACAAUAGGUAGGACUUCGUGUAGAAAUUUGUCACACGCUUCAUGUGGAGUGAGAUCUUCAAUUCGUUCCAGACAGAAACAUCCUGUAUAUAAAGAAGCCGGCACAAGCCGCUGCGUACUGAAUCAAGCUAUCGUGUAGGUGUGGCUCAGAUGUUUGCAAUGAAGAUCUCUUCAUCU
rnacentral:lncRNA from 1 species